rnacentral:rRNA from 1 species
CAGCCCCUGAGUGGUAGGGACGAUUAUUUGGCCUAAAGCGUCCCGUAGCCGGCUUAGCAAGUCUUUCGUUAAAUCCGACGAUUCAAUCGUUGGGCCGCGGAAGAUACUGCUAGGCUUGAGGGCGGGAGAGGUCGACGGUAGUCCCCAGGGUAGGGGUGAAAUCCUAUAAUCCUGGGAGGACCACCAGUGGGGAAGGCGGUCGACUAGAACGUGCCUGACGGUGAUGGACGAAAGCUGGGGGAGCGAACCGGAUUAGACACCCGGGUAGUCCCAGCUGUAAACGAUGCGAGCCAGGUGUUGGAGCAACUACGAGUUGCUCCAGUGCCGCAGAGAAGUUGUUAAGCUCGCCGCCUGGGAAGUACGGCCGCAAGGCUG